CCAACGGCCCUUUUAAGGGCCACCAUACAAUCCAGAGCAAUUAUUA
rfam:Orchesella cincta Ocin01_Sc0145, whole genome shotgun sequence.